AGAGACGGGCGAGAAAGCGACCGAAGGAAGGAAAGACCGCUCGACCGUUUAACGCUCAGCUCCGCCGGAGACAAACGUCUUCUCCUCAGAACCCUGACCGUUGGGCCCGUUGCUUCGCUACCAGAACGUCCAGCUGCAGACUAUCAGAAAAUGGUAAGGAAGAGUGAAAAGAAAAUGGCCCAUGCUACAUAAUGAGAGAUUGCAUCCACAUGGCUCACUGCACCAUGAUUUACAAUUGCUGUCAAAGAUUAUUAUUCUGGAUACAGAGAGCCAGAAUGGUGUAAAAGUUUAAGGAUUGGACUAAGGACUUCAUCACACAAGGUGACUAAAGUGCAAUUACAACAGAAUAAAAGCAUCUGUUGGUGA